GCAGAUUCUUGGCAGACCUCUGUUGUUUUUCUAGAGUUGUAGGCAAGUAGUUGGACAAAAAGCAAGAAGCUGAUCGAUGUUGCUGGCUUUGGAUUCUUUGUGAACAAAUGAGACAAGGCUGCAAAUUCAGAGGAUCCUCCCAGAAGAUAAGAUGGAUCAGGUCACCACCUUCUUCCCUGCUUCACACCCUCAGGCCCCGACUCUCGUCUGCUGAGAUCACUCUCCAAACCAAUCUUCCCUUACAAAGCCCUUGUUGCAGGCUAUGCUUUCUGAGGGGAACCCAGGCCAAGACACUAAAAUGACACACCAACAUGAAGACAUGAACACAAUUGCAAAGGGAUUGGUUGGAUUGCAUAUCUCUGUGAAUGGGACUCAAGAGAAGUUUGGGAAAUGCUGGACCAGAUGACCCUUGCAAUCAUGGUGCACAGAAUUAAAACCGUCAAGGUCCCCAUCCAUCUCUGAGAUGGAUGAGAAUCUGAGUCUUCCACAAGAUGCCCAAGACUUGUUAAACCCGUGGAAUGUCUUUGGGUAUGUGUGACAUCAACAAGAAGCAGCAGACAAAACAAAAUAUUUUCACAAACAUUCAGAAAUCCUUAAAUCUUGUGAGUUGUCAUACCAUUUGUAGAUAUAAUUAUAAAAUGGCACAUGAUGCUGA
rnacentral:lncRNA from 1 species